rnacentral:rRNA from 1 species
GAAAGUAUGGAAAGAUAAUAAACAAUAUAAUAUUAUAAUAAUUAAUUAAUAUAAAUUAAUAAUAAUUAAUUUAUAUAUAUAUCUAAUUAUAAGUAAUAUAUUAAUUAAUAUUUUUUAUAUUAAUUAUAUAAUAAGUUAAUAAUAAAUAAAUA